AUUUAUUGGACGUAUAAAUCUAGAGCGAGACGAAGAGAAAAUUACCUGCGAUUUCUCCGAUAACAGGAAAACCGAGAAAUAAGAAAAAACUAAAUGAAGUUGGACGAUCCUACAGAGAGAUACGGUGUAGGUUGUCCAUGCGGUUGCGAAGGGGGUGGGUUUUCGAAGGCGGGAAGGCCGAUUUAGAGCACAAUGCGGUUCAAUGCCGAGGAAAUUAGCCACGGCGCUGCCGGUGACGCCCGUCAGUCCCACACCAUGGAAAACAGAGACCGUAUCUGUCCCUGUUGCCGGGCUAUGGGAGCACGAGCGUAUCGUUAUCCCCGUGGCACGGAAAUAAAUCUAUCUACGAUGAAUUAGACGGAAUGGUAAAAGAUGUACUGGAAGAAGAAGAAGAAGAAAACCUUCUGAUAAUAAAACGCA
rnacentral:misc_RNA from 1 species